GAUACAUGAAUUAAAUAUUGAAAUGCAUAUUUUUUUUUAAAACUAAUUUGCACACCAAGUAUAUGUGAAACACAAUUGACAGAUAUGAUGGUUUUUAGAAUUCAAUGGAUCUUUUAGUAAUUUAAUAUUCAGAAAAAGAUGUCAUAUUUUGUUGUAACGAAUCUUCCAAUAGACGUUAUUGGUGAUAUUCUUUUUUUUAAUUAAGUUUGGGUAAGAUUGAAAGUGAUGAGCUCCUGCUUAAGUAUUGUUUCAUUUGGUAAUUUACUGUGAAGCUUUGUGAGUACAUGUAUCAUGAAUGAUUAUGCUACUCAAGAUUGGUUUAUGAUCAGCUACCCCCAAAACCCUUCUAUUGUAUUUGGUCUCUGAAAUAUGCAACAUGUUAAUAGAUUAGAUCACAAACUUUGAAAUAAUUAAGCUAGGCUGUUCAAUUUGAGAAUUGGAGUUCAUUGGGUUUAGGCCUUGAAUUGGUAUCCUUUUGUGUAUACCUGUGUAUCAUCCAGAAUGGUACCGUGAUGCCAAUCAGGACCACCAUGAACUCUGUGCUUCCUGUCUCCAUCAUGUCAUCUGUACAUUGUACUAACUUGUAUUGAACUACUCUAGCUCUUUGCGGAUCUUGGGGAUCUGAAUUAAUACAUUAUUCAAUUUCUAUAGGCAGUUGCUCAUCAUCUUGUAAUAAAAAUUAUUGGAGGUUUUCGCUGGUUUUACUCAAUCCAGGCUUAAAACUCGGCUUCAUAUUGCACAGUUGGUGAAGGUGGAGGAUACAUCAGCUAAACUUAAGCAAGCUAGUGAAACAUAAUAUCAAGUUGAAGUUAGUGUCAUUUUGUCUGUUUGCUUAACAGAUGAUCCGACAGUUGUGUUUUGUCAUAUUUCAUCUAUUCUGUCUAUUUUAACCAUUUAUGUGUCAUGAUUGCCUGCAAAUUGUGGUGUCCUAGAAAUCUUGCAAUCUCUUGAAACUCAAACAAUGCAAAUAGACUUUGUUUGUAGUUUUUUUGUUUAAAAUUUAUGGGGCAAUAAAAUGAUGUUUGAACUUUUUUUUGCACCAAUCUCUGAUGCGUGCUAGAUGGUCUAGAUGGUUUGAUUUCCAUACAGGCAACGAAGAAAAUUACACCGCCAAACUUGCGAAAGACUUUCAGGCAUAUUUGAAAGUCUGCUUAGAGGGAGACGGCGAGUACUCCUUUUGUUCCCCAAGCCAUCUUCCUUCUAGCUACUCAGCAGGCGAUGCAGAUAUAAGAGUCCGAUACAGUGAGCUCGUCUUGUGAAUCUAGGAGUUGCAUUUGCUACACUUGUUGAGAAGACCACGGUGAUGUUUCCGAAAGUGCUUUAGUAUUGGUGUUCCGUGGUGCAGGUGACUAUUCAUAUGCUAUCAUAUCAUUUUUAUCAUUUGUCCCCUAAUGUUGUGUUGUUGGGUUCUCAUUUUCUUGGAUUUUUGACUAAUUGGAGCGUAUUUCUUCAUUGUUUUUGCUGCUCUGAUUAAUUUAUAUAGUAAUAAUAGCGUUUGUGUUCUACCACCUUGCAUAUUGGCUUCUUUGCUGCUGAAAUUCUGUUAUUGUUCUCCAUUUUCAACUUUCUUGUUCACAGCAUAUAUAGACAACUAAUAUAUUGUAGAACUCUUGUAAAGCUAAUCUACUCUUGUGGUAGAGAUUGUGUUCUUGCUUGAGUCCAUGUUGAAGUAACUUCCUCCUUGCUUAUACAACUC